rnacentral:rRNA from 1 species
AAACCAACAGGGAUUGCCUUAGUAGCGGCGAGUGAAGCGGCAAAAGCUCAAAUUUGAAAUCUGGCACUUUCAGUGUCCGAGUUGUAAUUUGAAGAAGGUAUCUUUGGGUCUGGCUCUUGUCUAUGUUUCUUGGAACAGAACGUCACAGAGGGUGAGAAUCCCGUGCGAUGAGAUGUCCCAGACCUAUGUAAAGUUCCUUCGAAGAGUCGAGUUGUUUGGGAAUGCAGCUCUAAGUGGGUGGUAAAUUCCAUCUAAAGCUAAAUAUUGGCGAGAGACCGAUAGCGAACAAGUACAGUGAUGGAAAGAUGAAAAGAACUUUGAAAAGAGAGUGAAAAAGUACGUGAAAUUGUUGAAAGGGAAGGGCUUGAGAUCAGACUUGGUAUUUUGUAUGUUACUCUCUCGGGGGUGGCCUCUACAGUUUACCGGGCCAGCAUCAGUUUGGGCGGUAGGACAAUUGCAAAGAAAUGUGGCACUGCCUCGGUAGUGUGUUAUAGUCUUUGUCGAUACUGCCAGCCUAGACUGAGGACUGC